rnacentral:tRNA from 2 species
GGGCCUGUAGCUUAGUGGCAGAGCAGCCGGUUUGCAUCCGGCAGAUAGGGGUUCGAUUCCCCUCAGGUCCA